GCUGACAACUGUCUCCAUAAAGCAUUCCUGCAAUUUCCAUAGCCAUCCUGGGGGCAAGGUCAUACAGAUAGAUGUGACAGGAGAGACGUGGCAUUUAACAGUCUGGGAAGCAAUGCCGCAGGAUUACAGGGAAACUCUCCGAGAACCCUGCUUUACCUGUGCUAUCUUACUGGAGGAGACUGGAGUAUCUGUCUGUAUCUGAAAGGACCACUGUCAUCAGCCAGGUUGCUAGACAUCCUAUACAGCCUUAAUAAAUAGUUGGUCCUGUGUCCUGUCUGAAGAGCAACGAGAGCUGCAGACAACUGUGGUUAUCACCGCCAUAAAAAGACCCUGCUUCACCUUGCUUUCUGCUGCGACUUUCCACUGCGAGCAAACCAUGCACAAGUACCGCAGAUGCUGCAUCUGAGUCCACCCAGUUUAGCGGUCUUUGUGCCAGAGCUCUUGGCGUCAUGUCAGCCCAAGAGGAAUUGGCUGUGCCUGCAAGCCUCUUCACAGAUAAAGAACCUGCUUUGCCAUUGCUGCUGUUAAUACAGGGGUAUUUGGGAGUUUCAUUCUGUUCUCAAAAAAGCUGAUUUUACAUGCCAAAGCACAACAGUCAAGAACAGGCAUGGAAAAUAGUAAAAGAAACUUAAUCACUGUCUGUUGCAGUUUUUCAUUCUAGGUUUAGCUAUUAGAGCACCCAGCUGCAAUGUGAACUGUUGGUGUAUACAGUUUUAGUAUUAAAAAAAAAUGGCCAUAUCGCAAAGCCUGAGGUUUCUAAUGAAUAUUUGAAUUCGUAGCUUUUCCCUGAAUUCAUGGCACAUAGAACAAAGCAGGCUGACCACUGGUGGUGGUGUUGACCACUGGUGUAAGCUAAGCACAGAGCUACCCAUGUAGAGGGAACCAUAAACUCCACCUUGGAAUAUUUCUUUCAGAGCACUUCCUUAGCAGGCUAACACCCAUUUAAACUUGAAUUAAUGGUUCUUCAGCCAGAAUAAAAAGCCAGCUUUAAUGAACAGGGCCAAAAAAGAAGUGUCUCUCAAAGUUUCUCCCAGAAAACAUUUCUGUUUUCAGCUAGCUGUAGCACUCAAGGGUAAAAAAAAAUCUGCCAGAACAUGAACAUACCAACCUUCCAUUUUACUUUUGCACAGAUUACCAGAAGGUAAGGAUGAAAUAAUUUCUGCUUGUUCUGCUUGUAUAAAUUUUGUCAUUAUAUGCUAACUACUGCAGCACACCAUUUUAAAACACUCCUAAACAAAGUGAGAGGUUUUUUUAAGAACAGUAGAGGCCCCAGGAAUACUACACAGGCAGCCCAGCAGGUCCCCAGCUGUAGAGGAGGUGCAGGCUGGACUUAUUGCCGGUGGGGCACCGUGCAGACCUGUGAACCCGUCAGACCAGGA